AUUCGCUAUAUUAGUCAAAAACCUCCGAACCUUGUCAUACUUAAAACAGAAAGCAUGUAAAUUUUCGAUCAAAGACUUCAGUCCGAACUCGUGAUACAACUGUACUGCAAGACCAAGACUAAAUGGAGUAAUUAUGUUAUUACAAUUUGACACCAGGCGCUCUCCGAGAGCAGUACAUUUUCUUCGAAUGCCAUGCGAAAUAUCCAUUGAUAUGUUUCAAAAGACUUUUUGUCAAGAAGCCAAGUAACAAAACUUAUCAAACAGGGUAGCAACAUUGCUUCUGACAUUUCCAACGAUACUUCGUCAUUUGCAUUAUAA
rnacentral:lncRNA from 1 species